CAUAACCAUUUAUAAAACAUAACCCUGGACCCCUGAUGAUGGGGGUUCAAACCCUCUCUCUCUAUAUGUAUGUGUGUGUGUCUAUGUGUGUCAUGGUCGCAUACUGUAAUAUUUCCCUUCUGACAGGAUUGCAUCAGCUGAAUGAUAACUGAUGUAAUUUACUUGUGGUCCCUUAUAACUCUCAUAUGGCUCUAUCAUAUGGCAAAUUGAAUGUUAUUUCUAGAAUUUGUAUUUCCUGUUCCAUUCAUUGCCACCAGGUGGCAGCUCUCAUUUAAACAUCUUUGGCCAGCCCAAUUAAAAGUGAGUAAAGUGGAAACAUAAUAUUACAGUUACAUAACUGACAUCAGAGAAAGUAUUACUUGUUUCAUCAGCCAUUUAUAAAAGCCAUUUUACUCCCUGGACCACAAGUCAUGUAUGUUCUCUGGACUCUAUGACAAGGUUAGAGUUCAUGUUGGAGCGGCAGGUAGCCUAGUGGUUAGAGCGUUGGACUAGUAACUGAAAGGUUGCAAGAUUGAAUCCCCGAGCUGACAAGGUAAUAAUCUGUCGUUCUGCCCCUGAACAAGGCAGUUAUAACCCACUGUUCCUAGGCUGUCAUUGAAAAUAAGAAUUUGUUCUGAACUGACUUGCCUAGUUAAAUAAAGGAAAAAAAUGUUCUGUAGGCCUAAUACAUUUGGCUGUUGAUUAAAUAUAGAUGUCAAUGCAUUCCAGCACACUGAUAUCAUAGUUGAGGGUCUGUUGCUGUCCUCUAAAAAGCUGAAAAGAAACACCUUUGCAGAGUGGAUGAGGCCAACACACAUACUGUGCCCUACAUUAUAUGAGCAUAACACUCAUGGGAAUUUCACUUACUCCAACAUGUUCUCAGAGCAGAACGGAUUAUGAUUGGUUGCAUCAGACAACCAAUGGAGGAGGUGGGAGGAGGUGCAGUAUCCCAUCAUUCAGGUCAUGUGGGGCAGACCUGUUUUGUGACCCACAUGUUUUGCUUGCCAGUAAACAAUUUUGCUGCUCUAAGGGAAGUUUGAGUCAACUGGGUCUUCUGCUGCUCUAACAGCAGAACUGUCAGUACUGGCCAUCAACACAGUCAGUACUGGCCAUCAACACAGUCAGUACUCCACAUUCCUCUUCCCCCAUUUUCCUACAUUAUUUUAUUCCCUAUUUAUGAUGUUGUGAACUUGUGACCCAUGUGAAAUCCACUUAAAACAAAACUCUUAAAAUAAACAUGAGUACUAACAUGUCAUUAUUUCCUGACUGUAAAACAUUCAUUAUUGAGUUGGCGAAGAUCACAUGAUGUACGUUGGGUCAUCUUUUUUCUCCUAGGCAUGUAACGAGCUGGGUCAGAUCUGGAUGUAGUCAGGUGUGAGUGAGCACGCCGUGUUUGAAUACAUCCAGCUCAUCAUACAGAGGUUUUGUGUAGAUAUGGUGUAGUUGUGAUCGGUAGUAAUUCAGCAGCACUCUUUCAUGAGGGAGACCGCCUGCUUCGACUGUAUGUCACAACACACACUAACUCUAUAAGCAAUUGUUUUCUAUUUAAUCUGACAGAGUUUCAGAGGAUCUGCAGAGAACAAUGGGAGUAGGAUUCAAUCUUAAUCCUUUAUUGACGUUUUGCCUGUUUGAUGGUUCAUCUGAGGCCGUAAGAGGAUUUCUUAUAAGCGUCCGGAUUAGUGUCUCGCUCCUUGAAAGCGGCAGCUCUAGCCUUUAACUCGACGCGGAUGCUGCCUCUAAUCCAUAGCUUCUGGUUGGGAUAUGUACAUAUGGUCACUGUGGGGACAUGUCAUCAAUGCACUUAUUGAUGAGGCCGACAACUGAGCUGGUAUACUCCUCAAUGCCAUUGGAUGAAUCCCGGAACAUAUUCCAGUCUGUGGUAGCAAAGCAGUCCUGUAGCUUUUCAUCCGCGUCAUCUGACCACUUCGGUAUUGAGCGAGUUACUGGUACUUCCUGCUUUAGUUUUUGCUUGUAAGCAGGAAUCAGGAGGAUAUAAUUAUGGUCAGAUUUGCCAAAUGGAGGAAGAGGGAGAGAUUUCUAUGCAUCUCUGUACGUGGAGUAAAGGUGGUCUAGAGUUUUUUCCCCCUCUGGUUGCACAUGUGACAUGCUGGUAGAAAUGAGUUAAACUGAUUUAAGUUUGCCUGCAAUAAUGUCCCCGGCCACUAGCUGCACCGCUUCUGGAUGAGCAUUUUCUUGUUUGCUUAUGACCUUAUACAGCUCGUUGAGUGCGGUCUUAGUGCCAGCAUCGGUUUGUGGUGGUAAAUAGACGGCUACGAAUAAUAUAUAUCUCUGUAGAUAGUGUGGUCUACAGCUUGUCAUUAUCUACUCUACCUCAGGCGAGCAUUACCUCUAGACUGUUUAAAAUAUUACACAUCGCACACAAGCUGUUAUUGACAAAUAGACACACACCCCCACCCCUCGUCUUACCAGACGUAGCUUCCUUGUCUUGCCGAUGCAUGGAAAAUCCCGCCAGCUCUAUAUUAUCCGUGUCGUCGUUCAGCCACCACUCUGUGAAACAUAAGAUAUGACAGUUUUUAAUGUCCUGUUGGUAGGAUAAUCUUGCACGUUGGCCAAUAGAACAGAUGGUAGUGGAGGUUUACUCACUCGCCUAUGAAUUCUCAGAAGGCAGCCUGACCUCCGCCCCCUUUUUUCACGCAAAUGACGGGGAUUUGGGGUCAUUCCCGAGAAAGCAGUAUAUCCUUUGCUUCGGACUCGUUAAAGAACAAAUCUUCGUCCAGUUCGAGGUGAGUAAUCGCUGUCCAGAAGUUAUUUUUGGUCAUAAGAGAUGGUAGCAGCAACAUUAUGUACAAAAUAAGUUUAAAAAAAAAAAAAGUGACAAACAACGCCAAAAAAAAUAACAAAACAGCACAGUUGGUUAAGAGCCCGUGAAACGGCAGCCAUCCUCUCCGGCGCCAUACUCGCUACUUCCAAUGAUUUUGAUCAUGUUAUGUUAAACUGUGUCUCCCUACUGUGUUUUCCACGACAGCCAAAGUGUUCCUGACUGUGCCCCUCGAAAACCUAGCUGCCAUUCACACUUAGAGGAGGGAGUACGAGACUGCAGAGUACGAGAUAGCCCUGAACAUCAGGAUGAGAGCUUGGACACCAACCCCUCCCUGGCCUACACCCUCACAUGAAAUUGUGCCAUUCUGAACUUAAUCCGCAAAGUUACACCAUUUGUUUGUGACUUGAGCCAUUUCUCCUAUCCAGCUGUCUUGUCCCCUCGUUGAAACUCCCGUGCGGACUCGGGAGAGGAGAAGGUCGAGAGCCGUGCGUCCUCCAAAACACAACCCAGCCAAGCCGCACUGCUUCUUGACACAAUGCCUGCUUAACCCGGAAGCCCCCCGCACCAAUAUGCCGGAGGACACAGCGUACACCUGCCGACCAUGUCAGCGUGCAUGCACCCGGCCCGCCACAGGAGUCACCGUUGCACGAUGGGACAAGGACAUUCUGGCUGGCCAAACCCUCCCCUAACCCGGACGGCGCUGGGCCAAUUGUGCGUCACCCCAUGGAUCUCCUGGUCGCGGCCGGCUGUGACACAGCCUGGAAUCGAACAAGCAUUUCUAGUGGCACAGCUAGCACUGCAAUGCAGUGCCUUAGUCUACUGUGCCACUCGGGAGGCCCAUACCUCUUUCUAAACCUUGUUUUCUCUCUUCUCUGUCCAUCUUCCUCUCCUCCCUCUCUUUCCCCCAGCUGUGCGGAGGGGGUCUUUGAGAAAGCAGCGGAGCUUUACAAGCGAUCCAUGGAGAUCAAAGAGUCGGAACAGUCUCUGGUUUGUGGAAGGCCCCGUGUCGACACUAGUCCUGUGGGGACAUGUUUAGCCUGCGAGGGUCCACACCUCUCCCACAUGCCCCCAGGUGACCCCUCCUACCACCGCCCCUUCCAAGAACACAGACCCAUUUCUCCGCCACGUAACCUUGAAGAAAAUAAAGACAAGCACAAGAGACAACCAAUUAUAACUUAAGCCAUUACCAAUCAUCUGUAAACAGAGGUACAGAAGACAAGAGUCCCCUUGGCAACAGGUCAAAAGAGGUAAGAAGAAUGGGUAAGUAUACUAAUAUGAAAAUACUGUACGUUUGCAUAAAAACACAUACUUUUUAGCUAGCAUGAUGAAAACAGAGGCUACAUAAGUUACAUCAAUGGCUAAACAAUGACUUGAAAUGACAUAAAACGUAAAGCAAAGUUAAACUUCCAGAUGGUGCCAGUAUGUAUAAGGGCUGUGAAAGACCGGAUGAUGAAGGGUGGGUGGAAGAUGAUUACAUUCAGGAUGGUCAAACAGUAGUUAACUGACAACAACCAACUACUUCCUCUUUUGUCUUUCUUCUGUGGUCACAAGCACAAGAAGUGCAGCCACAAGCUGCAAAACUCUACUGAUCACUACUGAAGAGCCGGGCUGCAUUCCAAAACACUUAAAAGACACACCCUUUCCCCUCAGCCCUCAAAUUAAGUGUACACUUCUGACACUUGCAGGGCAAUGGGUGAGAGAAGAAUGAAUUCAUUUUAAUUGGACUGCUCUUGUCUGGAGAGCAGUCCAGGCAGGAGCAGGGGCGGCAGGGUAGCCUAGUGGUUAGAGCGUUGUACUAGUAACCGGAAGAUUGCAAGUUCAAACCCCUGAGCUGACAAGUUUAAAAUCUGUUGUUCUGCCCCUGAACAGGCAGUUAGCCUAGGAACUGUGGGUUGUCAUUGAAAAUAAGAAUUUGUUCUUAACUGACUUGCCUAGUUAAAUAAAGGUAAAUAACUUGUUCAACCCACAGUUGUGUCCUCAGUCCUCAUGGAACUGUUGUGUGUGCCUUAUAUGCGCUACAGUCAAUUAUGAUUCCAUUUUAUAUCUUGGCUAGAAGACAACACAUCUGCAGACAUUGAAUGUUAGCCAUCCUACUAUAUCAGGUAAAUCAAAAAUGACAAUGUAUAAGUGUGAUGUCAGGGAAAGUUAUGUGCACAAGUUAGCGUUUCCUAAACCCAACCAAACAAAAACAUCAUUACUUUUAUGAUACGUGUUUGAGUCGUCAUGUGCAUUUUCUUAGCGGAUGUACAAUCAUCGCAAAUUGAAUUAUGGGGCGUUUCAGGCCCGGAGUCCCAAACUCGAUCAAAAACAAGGGCUGAGGUGCUUAUGUUGCCAACUUCCCUUGCUUGGCUAAUCAUUUGGACCAACGACAGAGAUGGCCGCGGGGAUUCCCCCAAGGGUAUAAGGCGAGAGGGUAAGUGGAGGAGGGUGUGUCUUUUAUGAGUUUGAAACGCAGCCCUGGUAGUCUGCAUGUACUUUUUUAACAACUUAUUCACUAUACAAACAAGUAGUAAAAACUCUACCUGAUUUCUACUGAUAAGUCUGUAUAGUAAAGCUGAAAUGUUUUGACUACUUAUUUACUACCAACAUCAAGUCCACAAAAUCUCUACCUGAUUACUCUUAGAAAAAUGGGUUCAGAAAGACUGUCCCCAUAGAAUAAUCCUUUUUGGUUCCAGGUAGAAGUCUUUUUGGUUCCAUGUAGAAACCCUCUGUGGAAAGGAACCAAAAAGAGUUCCUAAAUAGGGUUCUCCUAUGGGGACAGCCGAAGAACCCUUUUAGGUUCUACAUGGCACCUUUUUCCCAAGCGUGUACUGUAAACACUGCUGUUUUCCUACUGAAAACUACAAAACUCUACUUGUCUAUCUUUAGUAGUGCAUAAACUACACAUUCACUACAUCAUUUCUACUGCUCUCUACAUAGUCACUACUGCACAAAUAGGUUUUGUGUAGUAAUUCAGUAGUACUUUUUCAUGAGGGUCUCCCCCGAUAUGAUGAGCUGGAUGUGUCCAGACAUGGCGUCCUCACUGACACCUGACUCCAUCCAGAUAUGUCCCAGCUCGUAACACAUCUAGGAGCAAAAAUACGACCCAACAUACGUCCUCUGAUCUUCACCAACUCAAUAAUGUAUGUUUUAAAGUCAGGAAAUAAUGUUAGCAGUCAAGUCAGAGUUUAUUUGAAGUACAUUUCACAUUGGUCGCGAGUACACACUUUACAUCAUUAAAAGGGAAUAAUGUAGGAAAAUGGGGGAAGAGGAAUGUGGAGUACUGACUGUGUUGAUGGCCAGCACUGACAGUUCUGCUCUUAGAGCAGGAUGGUCUAAGAGGUAAGAAGAAUGGGUAAGUAUACUAAUAUGAAAAUACUGUAUGUUUGCAUAAAAACACAUACUUUUUAGCUAGCAUGAUGAAAACAGGAAUGUGGAGUACUGACUGUGUUGAUGGCCAGUACUGACAGUUCUGCUGUUAGAGCAUCAGAAGACCCAGGUUACUCCAACUGCUCUAGGAUUGGACCCUUUUUUUCAAUUUUUGCCUAAAAUGACAUACCCAAAUGUCUGUAGCUCAGGACCUGAAGCAAGGAUAUGCAUAUUCUUGAUACCAUUUGAACAGAGACACUUUGAAGUUUGUGGACAUGUCAAAUUAAUGUAGGAGGAUAUAACACAUUCGAUCUGAUAAAAGAUAAUACAAAGAUCAAAAAUGUGUUUUCUUAUUUACAUUUUUUUCAUAUUUGAAAUGCAAGAGAAAGGCCAUCAUAUCACUUAGGACUCUAGGCACAAUUUAGCAGUGUAUGUGCAACGUUUUAGACUAAUACGAUGAACCAUUGCAUUACUGUUCAAAAUGUUGUAUCAAGUCUGCCCAAAUGGGCCUAAUUGGCCAAUUAAUACAUUUUGAAGUACAUAACUGUCCACUCUCCCCAAACAAUAGCUGGUAUUCGUUCACUGUAAAAGCUACUGUAAAGUGGACAGUGCAGUUAGAUUAACAUGAAUUGAAGCUUUCUGCCCAUAUAAGAUAUGUCUAUGUCCUGGGAAAUUUUCUUGUUACUUACAACGUCAUGCUAAUCACAUUAACACACGUUAGCUCAACCGUCCCAGCAGUAUCUAGUUGACAAAGUUCUGUUCGAAGAGCAGCAGCGCUGAUAGUUUAACUGAGCUGCUUCUAGAACAGCAACCUUUCCUUUCUGCUCCGAGAAUACGUUUGAGUAAGUUAAACUCCCAUGAGUUUACGUAACAGGCUAGGUCCAUUGUAUCAGCCAAUGUUAGUAAAAUGCUUUGUGUUAAGAAUUCAUUGAGGAAUUAGAUUUACUCUGCUGUGCAAAGAGUUGCCUCUUUUGAUUCUGGACUUCAUGGUGAGUCAUCGUUAUACUGGUAAGCAGCUCCAGAAGUGUUGGGCUGUAUAAAGUAGGGACGUGAGGCUCCUUUUUAUACAACAAUAUGUAGGACAGUCAAAUAGACCUGCAAAAAGGAGAUGCUUCACCUCAUCAAAUAUGAACAGGAUGCUAUUAUACCACAACAAAGUGCUUGGACCAUAACAAAAACAGACCUUUACUUAAUUGUUCCAGUGACGGUCAGUGCCGUUUAAGAUUAUGGAGGCCGUUUUUUUUUAUGAGCAUGGCCUUAUUUCUAUUACAGCAUCUUGGAUGACUGUCAUUCAUCUUCCAUUCACACAGCUCAAUGUAACAUCGAUAGGUUUAGGCUACUACAUGAUACUGUCACGCCCUGACCAUAGAGAGCCCUUGGAUUCUCUAUAGUGGUUUAGGUCAGGGAGUGACUAGGGGGGUGUUCUAGAAUGUGUAUUUCUAUGUUGGUGGUUUUGUAUGGCUCCCAACUUUAGGCAGCUGGUAAUCGUUGCCUCUAAUUGGGGAUCAUAUUUAGGAAGCCCUAUCGCCCACCUGCUUUGUGGGAUAUUGUUUGGGCACUAUGUAUUCACGUUCUUUAAGUUUUGUUGCUAGUUUUACUUUGUAUUAAAAAGAUGUUGAACUCAAUGCACGCUGCGCCUUGGUCCGUUCAUUUUGAAGAACGUGACAGAUACAAACAUUUUUCCUAGCUGCUCGAGGGUGUAAUCGUUCAUCAAACAGUUGCAAACAAGAGUUUCUAUUGGACAAACUCUGGUAGGUUUAUCCCGGUUUCGUUCCAUUUGCUUCUGUUUAAGAAACGUUUUUCAACAGAAU
ensembl:lncRNA